AGUCAUUUUUUUUUAGGGACUUAAGAAGGUGUUGCCGUGAUCGUAUAAGACUGCAAUGGUUUUCUCAUAUGGUAUUGUCAGUAACGAAGCUUAGAGCUGAUCUGUUUUGUUGGUAGUCUUUUUUGAGGACCCCCUGAAGGACAGCUUUCUGGGCUGAUUCAUAGUCCUUUGUUCUCGCUUUUCCACUACUUCAGAAGGUGCUGACUAAAAUGAUGAAAGACAUACCAGACAUGAGCCUGCUGCGGGUUUUGUGUUGGCCAUCCAGACGGUGGUUUCGCUUGAUACCGCAGUUCUUCACAGAUAUUCUCAGACCCUGAGGGUUAGGACCAAAUGACUCAGGCAGCAAAGAAGAGAAGUCAACCUGGCAAAGGCCCCAAGGAAGGGCCUUGCUGCGCCACAUGUGAGGAGGUGACAGGAGCCCGACCUCCAGCACCACCGAGCUGAGUGCUGUAGAGAAAUUGGGGUACAAGAAGUCGUUCCUGACCCAGUCAGACCCACAGCUUCCUGAAAGGCCGAGGCUGUGAGGACAACUUGGCUUACUCCUGGGAAAGGUAACUGAAGUGGGACUGGCCAUUAUCAGACGUGGGAAAGCACAGGUUAUGAAAGCAUUCUGGAAAAGCGUUGCUUCCGUGGCCCUGCAGCAGAGAAUUAACAGAAUGACCCCGACCUCAGCACCAAG